GAUGAACGCUGGCGGCGUGCCUAAUACAUGCAAGUCGAGCGAAGGGACUAUGAUGUUUCUUCUCGAAAGAUUUCGGCGCACAGGGGAGUGACACAUGGAUAACCUAUCUAUAAUAGUCGGAUAACUUCAUUAAACACUAUCUCUAAUAGGAUAAUAUAGUAUUUCUCAUGGGUCAGAAGUGUAAAAGUUUGUUACGCUCACAUUUGGAGAUAUCCUCGCUGCAUUAGCUAGUUGGUAAGGUAACGGCUUACCAAGGCGACGAUGCAUAGCCGACCUGAGAGGGUGAUCGGCCACACUGGAACUGAGACACGGCCCAGACUCCUACGGGAGGCAGCAGUAGGGAAUCUUCCGCAAUGGGCGAAAGCCUGACGGAGCAACGCCGCGUGAGUGAUGAAGGUCUUCGGAUCGUAAAACUCUGUUAUUAGGGAAGAACAUAUGUGUAAGAAACUGUGCUCAACGUGACGGUACCUAAUCAGAAAGCCACGGCUAACUACGUG
rnacentral:rRNA from 1 species